UUGAUGCCGCGUGAGUGAAGAAGGCCUUUGGGUUGUAAAGCUCUUUUGUAGGGGAAGAUAAUGACUGUACCCUAAGAAUAAGGUCCGGCUAACUUCGUGCCAGCAGCCGCGGUAAUACGAAGGGACCUAGCGUAGUUCGGAAUUACUGGGCGUAAAGCGCGCGUAGGCCGUUGAGUUAGUUAAUUGUGAAAUCCCAAAGCUUAACUUUGGAACUGCAAUUAAAACUGCUCGACUAGAGUUUGAUAGAGGAAAGCGGAAUACAUAGUGUAGAGGUGAAAUUCGUAGAUAUUAUGUAGAACACCAGUUGCGAAGGCGGCUUUCUGGGUCAACACUGACGCUGAGGCGCGAAAGUAUGGGUAGCAAAGAGGAUUAGAUACCCUCGUAGUCCAUACCAUAAACGAUGAUUGCUAGAUGUUGGAAAUUUAUUUUCAGUAUCGCAGCUAACGCAUUAAGCAAUCCGCCCGGGGAGUACGACCGCAAGGUUAAAACUCAAAUGAAUUGACGGGGACCCGCACAAGCGGUGGAGCAUGUGGUUUAAUUCGAAGAUACGCGCAGAAACUUACCAACCCUUGACAUGUCUGUCGCGAGUUUAGGAAACUAGACUUUUCGGUUCGCGCGGACAGAACACACGUGCUGCAUGGCUGUCGUAACUCGUGUCCUGAGAAUGUGGGUUAAGUCC
rnacentral:rRNA from 1 species